rnacentral:rRNA from 1 species
UGGGGAAUAUUGGACAAUGGGCGCAAGCCUGAUCCAGCCAUGCCGCGUGAGUGAUGAAGGCCCUAGGGUUGUAAAGCUCUUUCACCGGUGAAGAUAAUGACGGUAACCGGAGAAGAAGCCCCGGCUAACUUCGUGCCAGCAGCCGCGGUAAUACGAAGGGGGCUAGCGUUGUUCGGAUUUACUGGGCGUAAAGCGCACGUAGGCGGACUUUUAAGUCAGGGGUGAAAUCCCGGGGCUCAACCCCGGAACUGCCUUUGAUACUGGAAGUCUUGAGUAUGGUAGAGGUGAGUGGAAUUCCGAGUGUAGAGGUGAAAUUCGUAGAUAUGCGGAGGAACACCAGUAGCGAAGGCGGCUCACUGGACCAUUACUGACGCUGAGGUGCGAAAGCGUGGGGAGCAAACAGG